UAAAAUGAGUCUGCAAAUAAUUCCAUUUAUUUCCUUGUGUUUGUUCACGCAAUCACAAGUAAAUAAAUUGCAAGUAUGGAAAAAAGCUCUUUAAGGAGUUGUUUCUCUUACUCUUAAAACUUGGGUUACUGUCAAAAACCUGGAAUCCAUUCUGGGAUAUGAACGAUAAAGUUACUCAAGAGAGCACAAUAAAUACCUGAUGUUGCCCUCUACUGUAUCCUGUGAAAACCAAAAUUUCCAAUAGGACCACUCUUUUUCCUCAGCAAACUCCUAUGUACAUCCUAUCUUGGUAUAAACCAGUUUUAAAAAGUGUAUUUUAAUUGUUCUCACUGUGGACAGAAUUAGUGCCUCAUAUAUAAGUAAGUGUGUUGGGCUACAAUUUCUCAUAAGGUAGAAUUUGCUCCGAUUCUCUGAUUCUCUUGCCUCAUCCCUCAAAGACUUCUUUUCUGGACAGCCCUUUAAAAAAAAAGUUAAAAAAAUCAACCCAUGAUGCACAGCAAAGUGCUUGGGGAGUUCUCUUUUGAAUAACAUCAACUUCAGGAACUGCUGCUAAGAUCAAAUGGACAAAGAGAAUUCAGCACCACCCACCCCAUGUAUUAUCUAUUAAAGCUACAGGAGCUUAAUCCUUCCCAUGAACAAAGUCUGUUGUUCCACUUGCCAUUACCACUAACAUUCUGUGUAAGUCUGCUUCAUCAUAAGAAUGCACCUGCCUGUAUGAAAGCUACUCUGCAGUAUAAAAGUUCAAAGUCUCUACAAUCUUCCCAGGUCAUAACAUACUUCUUUUGCAUUGUUAAGAAUUAUUUCCUAUGGCCUAAAUAAUUCCAAAAAGAAUGUGUUAUUAAAAACUGCAAAGGUACUAAAGGCCAAAACAAUGAUCAGUAUUUCUGUAAGCUUCAGGAGUGUGCUACCUACACAGCAAGAACCAGCCAGUUUACCAGCCCUAUAUGAUUUCUUGCCAUCUCCCUGGAGGAAGUAGCCUUACUUCCAAUUCAGAUGACAAGUAUAUUUCAUGCUAUAUAUUUCAUAUAUUUCAUAGUAGUUAAAUUUUGGUGAAAAUUUUAUAAGGUUGGUUUUGACCCUAUGCAGUGUUUUUCCAUUCUCAAGAUCAUCUUUGAAAACAAUGAAAUGUUGAAUGAAAAAGAAUCCAGAAGGAGGAGAAAUGGUGUACAAGAGCUGUUAUGAGGUUUAACGCAGCUAUGUUUGUGGCAGGAAAUCCUAUGGGACGCAUGUGCUUCUGGGAUUCCUCCCUUGUGCCAUGUCACAGAGCAUCAUCCUGUCCACUUUGGGCACCCUCCGAUGAAAAGCUCCUGCACAGCCAAUACGCUACAUUACCACCUGCUUGCACUGAAAGCAGAAAAAUAGUAUUUGACAACUUGGAUCUUUGUGAUUAUUUGCACUGAGUUCUCUGAUAUAACAGCUAAAUUUGAAGAGAAUUUUGAACUAAUAAAGAGGGCAAAACAGAAAUGGAUGACAUCUUUCUGCUCAAAAAUAUGAGAACAAAGAGACGUGAGGUGAAAUGAGACAUCAGCAAACUUAUACGAAC